GAGGGUAUAGUUCAAGUGGUAGAGUGAAUGCUUAGCAUGCACGAGGUCCUGGGUUCAAUCCCCAGUACCUCCU
rnacentral:tRNA from 1 species